UUAAACACGCUACUAAAAUAGAAAGAGAAAGGAAAGAAAGAGAGAAGAACGAAAGGGUGGUUUGUGUGUAUGCGUUACGUUAUUCCUUUUUACU
rnacentral:ribozyme from 13 species